rnacentral:rRNA from 1 species
AAAGAUCGAAUGGGGAGAUUCAACGACAACGAGGCUGGCUUCCGUAGACGUGCGAUACCCCGAAUGGUUCCUUCGUGGUUCCAAUGCGAGGGCACACCGUUUACGGCAAAUGUUCCGGCUACGUAGUUGUGCACUUCUCCCUUGGUAGAACGUCGCGACCCGUUGCGUGUCGGUCUACGGCACGAGUUUGUUGCCUGUCGUGUCGCCCUGGUGCGUUACACGGCAGACGCUCGAACGCCCGGCCGGCUGCGCGACGGUACGCUAUACGACGGUAUAGGGCCGCGAACCAAUCCAUUUUUUCGAAUGUGUGUGCGUCAGGCCCGCCGCAAGCUCGAUUAGUUCGUAUAAGACCCGGUGGUACGGACCUGGUGCCGGCUCCGGGCCUAAUCAGCUGUUAGCAGUGCGGUGUCCUCGGACUGGCCAAGCUUUUAGAAUUACCGGUCAGCGACGCUACUGCUUUGGGUCCUCUCAGGACCCGUCUUGAAACACGGACCAAGGAGUCUAACAUGUGCGCGAGUCACUGGGACUUGUAAACCUAAAGGCGUAAUGAAAGUAAAAGUUGACCUUUGCGUCGACCUAGGGAGGAUGGGCCGCGUCACGAUGCGGCCUCGCACUCCCGGGGCGUCUCGUUCUCAUUGCGAGGAGAG